rnacentral:rRNA from 1 species
UACAGAGGGUGCAAGCGUUGUUCGGAAUUAUUGGGCGUAAAGCGCGUGUAGGCGGCUUUGCAAGUCGGGUGUGAAAGCCCUCAGCUCAACUGAGGAAGUGCGCCCGAAACUGCAGAGCUUGAGUGCCGGAGAGGGUGGCGGAAUUCCCCAAGUAGAGGUGAAAUUCGUAGAUAUGGGGAGGAACACCGAUGGCGAAGGCGGCCACCUGGACGGUAACUGACGCUGAGACGCGAAAGCGUGGGUAGCAAACAGG